rnacentral:rRNA from 1 species
ACGAACGCUGGCGGCAGGCCUAAAACAUGCAAGUCGAACGCUCUAGCAAUAGAGAGUGGCGCACGGGUGCGUAACACGUGGGAAUAUGCCUUUUGGUACGGAACAACGUCUGGAAACGGACGCUAAUACCGUAUGGUCCCUUCGGGGUAAAGAUUUAUCGCCAAAAGAGUAGCCCGCGCUGGAUUAGCUAGUUGGUGAGGUAAUGGCUCACCAAGGCGACGAUCCAUAGCUGGUCUGAGAGGACGAUCAGCCACACUGGGACUGAGACACGGCCCAGACUCCUACGGGAGGCAGCAGUUAGGAAUAUUGGACAAUGGGGGCAACCCUGAUCCAGCCAUGCCGCGUGAGUGAUGAAGGCCUUCGGGUUGUAAAGCUCUUUAGCCGAUGAUUAUAAUGACUGUAGUCGGAAAAUAAGCCCCGGCUAACUUCGU